GAUGAACGCUGGCGGCGUGCUUAACACAUGCAAGUCGAACGGAGUGUACUUUUAUUGAGGAUUCGUCUGAUUUAGCUGUACACUUAGUGGCGGACGGGUGAGUAACGCGUGGGUAACCUGCCUCAUACAGGGGGAUAGCAGCUGGAAACGGCUGAUAAAACCGCAUAAGCGCACGGUAUCGCAUGAUACAGUGUGAAAAACUCCGGUGGAAUGGGAUGGCCCUGCGUCUGAUUAGGCAGUUGGCGGGGUAACGGCCCACCAAACCGACGAUCAGUAGCCGACCUGAGAGGGUGACCGGCCACAUUGGGACUGAGACACGGCCCAAACUCC
rnacentral:rRNA from 1 species